GAUGAACGCUGGCGGCGUGCCUAACACAUGCAAGUCGAACGAAGCACCUUACCUGAUUCUUCGGAUGAAAGUUUGGUGACUGAGUGGCGGACGGGUGAGUAACGCGUGGGUAACCUGCCCUGUACAGGGGGAUAACAGCUGGAAACGGCUGCUAAUACCGCAUAAGCGCACGAGGAGACAUCUCCUUGUGUGAAAAACUCCGGUGGUACAGGAUGGGCCCGCGUCUGAUUAGCUGGUUGGCAGGGUAACGGCCUACCAAGGCAACGAUCAGUAGCCGGUCUGAGAGGAUGAGCGGCCACAGUGGAACUGAGACACGGUCCAAACUCCUACGGGAGGCAGCAGUGGGGAAUAUUGCACAAUGGGGGAAACCCUGAUGCAGCAACGCCGCGUGAGUGAAGAAGUAUUUCGGUAUGUAAAGCUCUAUCAGCAGGGAAGAUAAUGACGGUACCUGACUAAGAAGCUCCGGCUAAAUACGUG
rnacentral:rRNA from 1 species